rnacentral:rRNA from 1 species
GACGAACGCUGGCGGCGUGCUUAACACAUGCAAGUCGAACGGAAAGGCCCUGCUUUUGUGGGGUGCUCGAGUGGCGAACGGGUGAGUAACACGUGAGUAACCUGCCCUUGACUUUGGGAUAACUUCAGGAAACUGGGGCUAAUACCGGAUAGGAGCUCCUGCUGCAUGGUGGGGGUUGGAAAGUUUCGGCGGUUGGGGAUGGACUCGCGGCUUAUCAGCUUGUUGGUGGGGUAGUGGCUUACCAAGGCUUUGACGGGUAGCCGGCCUGAGAGGGUGACCGGCCACAUUGGGACUGAGAUACGGCCCAGACUCCUACGGGAGGCAGCAGUGGGGAAUAUUGCACAAUGGGCGGAAGCCUGAUGCAGCAACGCCGCGUGCGGGAUGACGGCCUUCGGGUUGUAACCCGCUUUCGCCUGCGACGAAGCGUGAGUGACGGUAAUGGGUAAAGAAGCACCGGCUAACUACGUG